UAACCGGAGAAGUGCAUCGGAAACCGGGAGACUUGAGUGCAGAAGAGGACAGUGGAACUCCAUGUGUAGCGGUGAAAUGCGUAGAUAUAUGGAAGAACACCAGUGGCGAAGGCGGCUGUCUGGUCUGUAACUGACGCUGAGGCUCGAAAGCAUGGGUAGCGAACAGGAUUAGAUACCCUGGUAGUCCAUGCCGUAAACGAUGAGUGCUAAGUGUUGGAGGGUUUCCGCCCUUCAGUGCUGCAGCUAACGCAUUAAGCACUCCGCCUGGGGAGUACGACCGCAAGGUUGAAACUCAAAGGAAUUGACGGGGGCCCGCACAAGCGGUGGAGCAUGUGGUUUAAUUCGAUGCUACGCGAAGAACCUUACCAGGUCUUGACAUCUUCUGCCAACCUAAGAGAUUAGGCGUUCCCUUCGGGGACAGAAUGACAGGUGGUGCAUGGUUGUCGUCAGCUCGUGUCGUGAGAUGUUGGGUUAAGUCCCGCAACGAGCGCAACCCUUAUUGUUAGUUGCCAGCAUUCAGUUGGGCACUCUAGCAAGACUGCCGGUGACAAACCGGAGGAAGGUGGGGAUGACGUCAAAUCAUCAUGCCCCUUAUGACCUGGGCUACACACGUGCUACAAUGGACGGUACAACGAGUCGCGAAACCGCGAGGUCAAGCUAAUCUCUUAAAGCCGUUCCCAGUUCGGAUUGUAGGCUGCAACUCGCCUACAUGAAGUUGGAAUCGCUAGUAAUCGUGGAUCAGCAUGCCACGGUGAAUACGUUCCCGGGCCUUGUACACACCGCCCGUCACACCAUGGGAGUUUGUAACACCCAAAGCCGGUGAGGUAACCUUCGGGGACCAGCCGUCUAAGGUGGGACAGAUGAUUAGGGUGAAGUCGUAACAAG
rnacentral:rRNA from 1 species